AAAAGCCAAAAUAUCUGCUACUCCUUGGCCUGUCAGAGCAUGGAAACUCACUCCGAAUGGUGUGUGCAAAUUAGUCAGGUUGAGAUAAGGCCUUGUGUGAAAAAAGGCAAAGCUUGCCAUCAAGCAGUCUUUAAAUGGGAGAUUAUGAUUAUGAAACCAGUACCAAGAAGUUACAGCUCUACAGAACAUAUAUGUGGGGAAAUGGCACCCUAAGUCUGUAAAACUUACACUCCGG